GACGAACGCUGGCGGCGUGCCUAAUAUAUGCAAGUAGAACGCUGAAGAGAGGAGCUUGCUCUUCUUGGAUGAGUUGCGAACGGGUGAGUAACGCGUAGGUAACCUGCCUUGUAGCGGGGGAUAACUAUUGGAAACGAUAGCUAAUACCGCAUAACAAUGGAUGACACAUGUCAUUUAUUUGAAAGGGGCAAUUGCUCCACUACAAGAUGGACCUGCGUUGUAUUAGCUAGUAGGUGAGGUAACGGCUCACCUAGGCGACGAUACAUAGCCGACCUGAGAGGGUGAUCGGCCACACUGGGACUGAGACACGGCCCAGACUCCUACGGGAGGCAGCAGUAGGGAAUCUUCGGCAAUGGGGGCAACCCUGACCGAGCAACGCCGCGUGAGUGAAGAAGGUUUUCGGAUCGUAAAGCUCUGUUGUAAGUCAAGAACGAGUGUGAGAGUGGAAAGUUCACACUGUGACGGUAGCUUACCAGAAAGGGACGGCUAACUACGUGCCAGCAGCCGCGGUAAUACGUAGGUCCCGAGCGUUGUCCGGAUUUAUUGGGCGUAAAGCGAGCGCGGGCGGUUUGAUAAGUCUGAAGUUAAAGGCUGUGGCUCAACCAUAGUUCGCUUUGGAAACUGUCAAACUUGAGUGCAGAAGGGGAGAGUGGAAUUCCAUGUGUAGCGGUGAAAUGCGUAGAUAUAUGGAGGAACACCGGUGGCGAAAGCGGCUCUCUGGUCUGUAACUGACGCUGAGGCUCGAAAGCGUGGGGAGCGAACAGGAUUAGAUACCCUGGUAGUCCACGCCGUAAACGAUGAGUGCUAGGUGUUGGAUCCUUUCCGGGAUUCAGUGCCGCAGCUAACGCAUUAAGCACUCCGCCUGGGGAGUACGACCGCAAGGUUGAAACUCAAAGGAAUUGACGGGGGCCCGCACAAGCGGUGGAGCAUGUGGUUUAAUUCGAAGCAACGCGAAGAACCUUACCAGGUCUUGACAUCCCGAUGCUAUUUCUAGAGAUAGAAAGUUACUUCGGUACAUCGGUGACAGGUGGUGCAUGGUUGUCGUCAGCUCGUGUCGUAAGAUGUUGGGUUAAGUCCCGCAACGAGCGCAACCCCUAUUGUUAGUUGCCAUCAUUCAGUUGGGCACUCUAGCGAGACUGCCGGUAAUAAACCGGAGGAAGGUGGGGAUGACGUCAAAUCAUCAUGCCCCUUAUGACCUGGGCUACACACGUGCUACAAUGGUUGGUACAACGAGUUGCGAGUCGGUGACGGCAAGCUAAUCUCUUAAAGCCAAUCUCAGUUCGGAUUGUAGGCUGCAACUCGCCUACAUGAAGUCGGAAUCGCUAGUAAUCGCGGAUCAGCACGCCGCGGUGAAUACGUUCCCGGGCCU
rnacentral:rRNA from 1 species